ensembl:lncRNA
UUCAGAUUGGUUGACAUGGGAUUCCUCAGAACUGUAUUUAUGUUCCCAGGGUCCUAUGUUUGGCAAUUCUAUACUCUUUUAACGCACAUCAAUCCUCCUGUUGUGUUUGGGUUAGACCCACAUCAUAUUAAGCGAAUUUGGGAUCCUAUUAUAAGCUGGGGAACAAAGGACUCUGGGAACAUGGUAUGACCCUGAUUUCGUUAUCCUGAAUUUUAAAGGUAUGUUGUCUGUAUACAGAAAUGAGAAAUGGAAGGAAAGCUAGACUCAAUACAGAUACCUAAAAUGCUGACAGUGCAGCUAAAGCUUUUUUUUUUUUUUUUUUUUUUAAAUAUACGUUCAUGCGUUUUUCUAAAGAAUUCUUAAAUCUGGAAGUCAUAGUUCCAAAAUCAUGGUUUUCAUAUACUUCUGAGGGGGAAUGUGGAAGUUUUAAAGAAGACAUGGUGUUUUUUCUUGCUAAUGCUGUUAAAAUAUGAUAAAAAAAAUAUUGCUUUAUUUGAUUUUGUCUUAUAACACUUACUGAUAAUGACUGUCAGGUGAUUACUUUAGCAUAAAGAUUGGAAACAAAGUAGCUAGCAUAGUUUUGUCAGCAGGCUUAGGCUAAUGUCCGCUAACCUACUGCUAGUUUGUAUUCAGUAGGAAUCUUCCAGGCAACUACUUUACAAGUUCUUUAAAUGAAAGAAAAUAGAAACUAGUCGACUAGCAUAAAAGACAGAAAACCUCAGAAAUAAUUUAAAACUCUUUACUUUAAAGUUUCAUGCUAAACAUUAGCCAAACAAAUAUUUCAUUUACAUCUUAGGAGAUACAAUAAAUACUUAAUCAUGUUCCUCGUUAAUCAAACCAUGUCUUAAAUGUUGCUGAAAUGUGCGCUGUAUAUAAUAUUGCAAACGCACACAACGUCAGAUAAGUUUGCAGAGUUUAGCUAAUCCAAGCGGUGCUAGCAACAGUAGCCUUGUUUUUUCCAGGCAGGCGUUCAAAUACCAGUGGCCAAAUAAUGGGGUCACAGUACAUGCAUGGCACAAAGGUUUAGGCUUCAGACUGCCAAUAAACACUGUUUGAGACAGUUUUGACUACUCGGGCCUCUCUGAUGUCACAGAGAGUGGAUCAAAUCUUAAUGUGAUUUUACAUUGAUCAUUUGCUUCCUAAAAGUUGGACACAGAAGGAUUCAGCUAUCAGGUUAGUGUCAAAGGGCAGCUAUGUCUAGUCGACUAGUUGCAUAAAUCCCUAAUAUUUAAUAUUGAGAUUCAAGUCAAUUUUCUUAUCUAACUUAUACCAUGAACAAAACAGUUGUUGUUUUUUCUCUAGAAUGUCACAUUUUUCUUUGAGAUAUCAAACCUCAACACUAACAGAAGAAAAAGAUUAGACAAGCUUGCACUUCCUGUACUACUCUGUGGAGACUUGUUGUUGGUGGGCCCAUACACAAAAAGUUAUGUCCUCAUUCUCUGAAGUUGAAAUGAAUUAUAAGGAAAUGUGCAAAAAGAUGCACAAGAUACACAAAACAUACCAUUUUAUCUCAUGACACAGCCCCGAAAGGUUUCAGCAUUUCACUGUGUUAUUCAUAUUUCAUGACGGCAAGCAUUCAGGCAGUAAAACCAAUAAACAUGCACUCGCCGCUUUGAUUGAGUAGCAUGUGUAUCAGACAAUACCAUGCUUAAGGUACAAUAUGAGACCGGCAGGUAGCGAAUGCCGGCAGCAACAGGAGGUCAAGCUCAUGUCUGCAGACAGCAGCAGCAGCGGUUUUUCGCUGUUAUCAGAUUUAGCACGUUUCAUAUCUGCAUCCAAAUUCACAAAUUGCAAAUGGCUAUUGAGCCGUUUCUGAAUCAAUAUGUAAUUUGUUGGCUCGGAGAAGUCUGUAAACUUCAUAGCCUUUAGCUGUUUGGUACAUUGCAUUAUAUUGGAAGCAAUGUAAUGAACACCAUCUUUCAUUCCUACUGCAGCAUAAAUUGUCAUUUGCAGAAUCUCUCACUUUUGUAUGGCACUUUGUAAGGCAGUAUUAAUGUAUAGAAACUUCUCUCUUUAUUUUUUAUUUUUUUGUAUGAAACACUUUGCCUGAUGUUUACAUUUUUUGGAAGCAAUGUGGAUUGUUUGACAUGCAUGUUGUACGUACUUGAUUUUUUUUUUUUUUAAAUAAAACUGAAUUAAAGUUCCCAGCCUCAACAGAGGGGGAUCUGAAGAGCUGGGUGGGUGGGUGGUUUGUUGCGCUUGAACCUUUUGCAGCAGGGUGUAAACCUCAAAAUGAGGCCUGUAACCUUGUAACCCCCCUCCAAAAAAACCCAAAAAAACUUGCAGUAAUGAGUGCCGGGGUCUCCUGUGAAAGCCAGCUGUGCUGCUGCCUCACAAAACCCCGAAUGAUUAGAUAACUACAGUGCAGCGCCAUAUCAAAUAGUUCCAGGGAUCAAAUUCUCGAAAGGAGGGGAGUGCACUUUGAGAGCAUGAGUGUGUGUCCAUCUGUGCAUGUGAGGGACACAGAGAGAGGAAUGAGAGAUAAAGGCUGGGUAAAGAAGAA